ensembl:snoRNA SNORA74 Small nucleolar RNA SNORA74
CCUAGCUGAGGGUAAUAGUCUAGGUUGCAAUGUACCUAGGCAAGUGUUAUACUGCUGGGAAAAAAGCAGCUAAUAGCUGGUGGGCACCCUGGGCCUGGUUAAUGCCAAAUCUGUGUUAACCACACCACUGUGCCCGCAUAGC